rnacentral:lncRNA from 1 species
CUAUGUUACCCAACUAAUUCUGAUUCGUCCACGACAGACCUCAUGGGUUGGUUUUUGCUCUGACAUGCAUUGUCAACUGUGUGACCUUUUAUAUAGACAGGUGUGUGCCUUUCCAAAUCAUGUCCAAUCAAUUACAUGAACCAUAGGUGAACUCCAAGCAACCUCUCAAGGAUGAUCAAUGGAAACAGGAUGCACCUGAGCUCAAUUUCAAGUCUAAUAGCAAAGGACUGGUCCAAGGACCUCCAGAGCCUUCUGACCAACUACCUGUGAUCUCUCCAGCGCACAGAGAAGUGAGUCUGCUGAGCUAUGGAACUCUAGAGCAGCACACCAAAAGAACUGCCACCCUGUUGCCAGCUAUCUGCAGACUUUCAAUGGCCACAUUUUGUGGAUGACCAAACGCAAUAAAGUGUUGUAACUUCUGUGAUAACUUAACCAUCAAGACAAAUACACUUAGAGCUUAUUUUUUAAAAGUUAUGAAAAAAAUGCAAGACUAAUGUCCAGAGUGAAUGCAUUUGUAUUAUUGUACAUCUUACAGGUGUCUCAACUAAAAUAUAUAUCCCAGACAAGAAUAAAGAAUGGGACAAAGUUGGUGCUUG